GCUCCAAUAGCGUAUAUUAAAGUUGUUGCAGUUAAAAAGCUCGUAGUUGGAUUUCUGGAGUCAGCUUUCGGCCGUGCCUUUAGGCAUGUGUGCUGUAUCUGUCUGGCUUCAUCCUUGUAGUGAUUGUAUCUGGCAUUCAGUUGUCGGGUGCAGGAGCUGCAUCGUUUACUGUGAAAAAAUUAGAGUGUUUAAAGCAGGCU
rnacentral:rRNA from 1 species